rnacentral:rRNA from 1 species
UACGUAGGGGGCUAGCGUUGUCCGGAUUUAUUGGGCGUAAAGAGCGUGUAGGCGGCCAGGUAGGUCUGCUGUGAAAACUCGAGGCUUAACCUCGAGAUGUCGGCGGAAACCAUCUGGCUAGAGUCCGGAAGAGGAGAGUGGAAUUCCUGGUGUAGCGGUGAAAUGCGCAGAUAUCAGGAGGAACACCGGUGGCGAAGGCGGGUCUCUGGGCCGAUAUUGACGCUGAGGAGCGAAAGCCAGGGGAGCAAACGGG